UCGUAACAAGGUCUCCGUUGGUGAACCAGCGGAGGGAUCAUUACCGAGUUUACAACUCCCAAACCCCUGUGAACAUACCAAUUGUUGCCUCGGCGGAUCAGCCCGCUCCCGGUAAAACGGGACGGCCCGCCAGAGGACCCCUAAACUCUGUUUCUAUAUGUAACUUCUGAGUAAAACCAUAAAUAAAUCAAAACUUUCAACAACGGAUCUCUUGGUUCUGGCAUCGAUGAAGAACGCAGCAAAAUGCGAUAAGUAAUGUGAAUUGCAGAAUUCAGUGAAUCAUCGAAUCUUUGAACGCACAUUGCGCCCGCCAGUAUUCUGGCGGGCAUGCCUGUUCGAGCGUCAUUUCAACCCUCAAGCCCCCGGGUUUGGUGUUGGGGAUCGGCGAGCCCUUGCGGCAAGCCGGCCCCGAAAUCUAGUGGCGGUCUCGCUGCAGCUUCCAUUGCGUAGUAGUAAAACCCUCGCAACUGGUACGCGGCGCGGCCAAGCCGUUAAACCCCCAACUUCUGAAUGUUGACCUCGGAUCAGGUAGGAAUACCCGCUGAACCUAAGCA
rnacentral:misc_RNA from 1 species